rnacentral:rRNA from 1 species
UACGAAGGGGGCUAGCGUUGCUCGGAAUCACUGGGCGUAAAGGGUGCGUAGGCGGGUCUUUAAGUCAGGGGUGAAAUCCUGGAGCUCAACUCCAGAACUGCCUUUGAUACUGAGGAUCUUGAGUUCGGGAGAGGUGAGUGGAACUGCGAGUGUAGAGGUGAAAUUCGUAGAUAUUCGCAAGAACACCAGUGGCGAAGGCGGCUCACUGGCCCGGAACUGACGCUGAGACGCGAAAGCGUGGGGAGCAAACAGGG